CCGGAGCUUGCUCCACCGGAAAAAGAGGAGUGGCGAANGGGUGAGUAACACGUGGGUAACCUGCCCAUCANAAGGGGAUAACACUUGGAAACAGGUGCUAAUACCGUAUAACAAUCAAAACCGCAUGGUUUUGAUUUGAAAGGCGCUUUCGGGUGUCGCUGAUGGAUGGACCCGCGGUGCAUUAGCUAGUUGGUGAGGUAACGGCUCACCAAGGCCACGAUGCAUAGCCGACCUGAGAGGGUGAUCGGCCACAUUGGGACUGAGACACGGCCCAAACUCCUACGGGAGGCAGCAGUAGGGAAUCUUCGGCAAUGGACGAAAGUCUGACCGAGCAACGCCGCGUGAGUGAAGAAGGUUUUCGGAUCGUAAAACUCUGUUGUUAGAGAAGAACAAGGAUGAGAGUAACUGUUCAUCCCUUGACGGUAUCUAACCAGAAAGCCACGGCUAACUACGUGCCAGCAGCCGCGGUAAUACGUAGGUGGCAAGCGUUGUCCGGAUUUAUUGGGCGUAAAGCGAGCGCAGGCGGUUUCUUAAGUCUGAUGUGAAAGCCCCCGGCUCAACCGGGGAGGGUCAUUGGAAACUGGGAGACUUGAGUGCA
rnacentral:rRNA from 1 species